UCCAUGACCUCAGUAACACCUUCAGCUGGUUGGUUUUUACAAUAAAGACACUUUUUCCUCAAGGAGGUACCAGCAGCAGACCUGGGAAGCAUCCAGGAAAACACAUAUAUAAAAACCAUUCUGGUAGCCCUGACCACUGGAACAAAACCAUGAGUUUGGCCAGACCUUCUGCUGUCAUUCUACCCAAAAUGCUGCCAAAAUAUUUACUGUUACAUCUUCUGUAUAAGAACAAAUUUAAGUGGAAUUAAACAUUUUUAUCUACA